AGCAUAAAUGUCAUCUUAAUUGUUCAUUUUCUUUUCAGAUGCCAGCUUGUCAUUGUUAGUAUUUGCUGGUUCCAGAAAAGGGAAGACAUAAUUUCAUAUUUAAGUUGCACAGAUGAAAGUAUUUAUUUUGACAAUGACACUGGCCAUGUGAAACCCUCUAAACACUCACGGAAAGCACCUCACCGGAUUCAGCCCAGCCUGGGAAACCAGAAGUUAUUUUAGGUAAGAUUACAACGGCAAAUUCAAAGAGUGGUAACAUGGCCUUUGAGAAGGAAAGAAAUCAGGUGAUUAACUUGGAAUGAACUGUAAGGGAAUUUAGGAUACAGAACAAAAGACAAAAUUCAGUCCUACUUUUGCACUGGAAUGGGUAGGAGUCAUCUGUACCCUACCAAAUGAUCCUGUGUAUCAUCCACUGAGAACAUUUAGAGAGUCACAUCCCAGAAGGGGACUGAAAAGCUGUGGAGAAGAAUGACUGAUUUAAUGAACUGUGUUAACACAUUUGCAGGAAGCACCAGAUUAUAAUUUGUUCUGCCUUAGUGACAUUUUAAGCAACUGAAAAAUUGCUUUUACUGGGAGUAUUAAACUGUACAAUUUUAUCAGCUUUUGUGAUAAGAAUCUAUUUUGAACAAAAUUUACUAAGUUCCUAACUCCUUAGCUGUACUUCAGAUGCUAUUUUUGAAAAAAAAAUAUGUUCAACCAAUAAGGAAACACUCCCUCUCCAACAUUUUUUGCCUUAAUGUUUUAAUUUAGGUAUGUCCUUGCCAUUUCUAAAGGCCUUUUUCUUCCUAAUAUUUGCUUAACUGAGGAGGAAAAAAGACUUCAUUUAUCACCUGGUGGGGUAACUCACCUGAAGCUCAAGGUUCAUGAACACAUUUUGGGUGGUUAACAGGGAUUUUUAUUUUGUGAUUUCAUUGCUUUUGUUUUGAUUGGACACAAUAAAGCAAUUAGCAAAGUGUAGGGAAACAAUUGACUAAAGAGGAAAAUGCUUUCAACUUGGUAAUGGUCCAGGAGCUGCCCAACAAGAUUUCAUUCUUAUCAUUGCUUGUUUUAUUAUUUUAGUCAAAUCAAGAUGUGGGGGUGGUAGGGAAGGGCAGCAAUUGAACUACCAAACCCUGCAUUUCUGACCACAGGAGGCUCUGCCUGUGCUCAGUCUGUGUUCUGUGAGUCAAGUAUGGAAGCCUCAGUUGAUAUGGAUUUGUGUUUCACUAGUCUGUAGGACUGUCAGUUGAGGCUUUUGUUUGUUUGUUUGUUUGUUUUUCCCAAUAACUGCAUACUUACUACGUUUGUCUUCAAAGCAGAUUUUAAAAUCGGUAUAAUGUGCAACCAUCCUGCAGCCUUUCUUACU